AUAUAACGGCAAAAAACACGAACACACUGCCCACCCUUUUGCUUUUCUUUCGCUAAGACUCAUACAAGUUUUCAUCCACCCACUCGCCUGCCACGACUGCAAUCGAAGUGUUUGCCCGCUCCUCUCUUCUCCCACGACCUGGCGUCUUCCUUGUACGCCCACUCCUCCACACACACACACACACACACACUCACCAAGCGACCAUGACCGUUGGUCAGCAGACCGGAAACGUCGCCAGCGGCGCUGACGUGCCUUACGCAACGCCGCCCCAGGAGCAGCUGACGGAGGAGGGCAAGGGCUACGUGCACCCGGACACCGCCGCGCUCUUCGACGCUUCCCCGUUCAUGCGCUACAUCCCCAUCUUUGGAACAGCAGUGGUGCCGUUUGGGCCGAAGUGUGUGAUGUCACUUGGCAUCGUGUACAUUCUCAGCAAAGGUCUGGCGAGGACGCUGCUCAACUCUUCCAGGUACGCCAUGUUCAUGAAGAAGUACGGCGUCACCACGGCGGUGUACCAGCGCAUCUCCGGCAUUGGCUCCUUGGGCUUCUCCAUCAAGCCGCUGACAGCCAUCUUGAGUGACACGUUCGCCUUCUUCGGCUACACGAAGCGGUGGUACAUGGCCUUGUCAUGUAUUGCCGGUGCGGUGUGCGCUAUCGUGUACGGCGUUCUGCCGUUCAAGCCGUCGAGCGCUGGCAUUGCGGGUGCUAUGAUUUUCAUCUCGGUCUUCUGUAUUGCAAACAUCGAUGUGCUGUCAGAGGGUCACUACAGUCGCCUUAUCAAGCGCCACCCCAUUCCUGGUGCCGACCUGAUCUCGUGGAUCUGGGCGCUUAUCAUGGUGGGUGCGAUCCUCGCGUCGGCCAUUCAAGGGCCGCUUUCCGACUCGGGCCGCCCCACCAUCGGCAUCUUCCUCUCCGCAGGCCUGCAGGCCUUCUGCGUUUUCUUUUUCAUCUUCAACUGGUAUGGCGAGAAGAAGAACCUGAUCGAACGCAAGGAGGACUACAUCUUUUUGCUGAAACAGGAGGCUCAGAUGCAGGAGACGGACUCGGAGCCGAUCAAGGAGGGCGUGGGGGUGCACGACAUCACCAUGGGCAAGAGCAAGACGAAGCCUACCGUGCUGUAUCACGAGCCCUCCCUGCAGAACAGCAACACGGAGCUGGUGAACUUUGGCGAGCUUGACGAUGACGUGGCCGAGUACGACUUUGUCGAGACACGUUGCAUGUGCGGCAUCUUUGGAGUGAACAAGGAGAUCGUCUCUCGCAACAUCUCUGUUGCCGUCUACGGCGUCAUCAUGACGGCUGGCGUCAUUGCGCUGACGGUGCUUAACAUCAUGGGUACAACCUACCAGCUGCUCUACGGCUGCGUCGGCAUCUCGGUUAUCCUGUGCGCGACCGGCUUCCUCUGCAUCCCUAUGACGAUCAUGAAGGCCAACUUCUUCGGGUGGUUCCAGCAGGUGUCCUACAUCCUCAUCUCCGGCGGGACGGACAACUUCUACAUGUCGGAUGCCAGCUGCCUGCCGGACGGGCCACACUUCUCUCAGACAUUCUACAACACUGUCGGCGCCGUCAUUGGCAACGCUGCCGGCGUGUUUGGUGUGUACCUGUUUGCGCGCGUCUUCUCGAAGCAGAGCUACCGCGUCACGCUAAUUUGCACCACUCUUGUCCAGGUUCUUGCGAGCGUCUUUGACAUCAUCAUUGUCGAACGCUGGAACUUGUACAUCGGCAUCCCGGACCACGCCAUGUACAUCAUGGGUGAUGCUAUCGUGUACGAGGUGUGCUACAUGCUGAACUUCAUGCCACUGAACAUGCUUAUCUCGCGCCUCUGUCCGAAGGGGUACGAGAGCACGAUGUUUGCAAUUUUGGCGAGCUUCAGCAACAUGGGUGCAUCGACGUCGUCCACGAUUGGCGCAAUUCUGAUGGAAACGGUGUGGCCACUCUCCUCCAGCCCGCCGUGUGACUUCAGCAACCUGCGCUGGCUGCUCAUCUCCGGCCACUUCAUCACGCCGCUUAUCGCCAUUCCGCUAGUGGUUGUGCUCAUUCCCGGCACCCGCAUCUGCGACCCGAUCGACCCGAAGGAUGUCGAGGGCCUGUCCAUCUUCCAGAAGUGGCUCAACAAGUUUCACGCAACGUCAAACGCACACGCCAAGCCCCAGCCCAAAUCGCUGCCAGAUUCGGAGGGGCAGCAGUAGUCGUCGGCGAUGCGGUAUGCGCGCCGUGCAUGUGCGUGUGUGUCGUGGCCUCUUAAUUUCCUGUUUUUUUUUUCGCCUUCUACGUGUGCUUGCUGUACCGCUUAUUCAAGUGCACCACACAUACACGCUUACAUAUACACAUCUACAGCUUUUUCUUUGUUGCUAACGUGCCUGACAGCGCUCAUGAUGCGGCACCGGCACCGCAGGCACCUGGAGACCCUGCACUACGCCGCUGCCCCUCUCUCUUUCGUUCUUGUACUCUCGUUUUGUAUAUGCAACCUUCUUCCACGUUCUGUCUUGUUUUUACGAGUGUCCUUUGCUUGGGACCGUUGCAUCUCAUGAGGCUUCGCGUCGCUGAAGUGGGCACAACUAGAGAAGGCAGUGCUGCUUUUGCCCCAGUGCGUGACCCCCUUCCCCCUACCCCACUGAACAAGUGACUGCGUGCUCGUCUCUCUAUGCUCUCUCUCUCUCAUAUGGACGUAGGUGUUUACGUGUCGCACGUGCUGACAGGAGGAGACGAAGAGGAAACGGAGGAGAGUUUCAAGUCUUUCGGAGUAACGCACGCGCGUUGCUCCUUUUUAGCACUUCCAUUUUGAUGUGUUUUCUGUCUCCCAAAUUUUGUGCGUGUCUUUUCUCGCUUCGUGUGCCGCGUAUGCGUGUAUCUCUAAGGUCGGGCUCAACGAUGAAGCCGCCGCCAGGGGGAGAACCAUGCAGUGUACUACAAGGCUCACUCUCGUGCUUCUCCCUAAAAUGCAUCACCACAGCCGAAGCCCAUGGGGCGUUGCGGAGACGGGAGAAAGCGAAAGGAGUGACGUGCAAUGCCUUCUCUUCCGCCUCGUCUUUUUAUCCCUUUAUAUGCUACGCCCUCCUCCUUUCCGUUGGCAAUUUUGCCUCCGCUUCUCUCUCUCCAUCUCUGCCGGUGCGUGUGUGCGUGUGUGCAUGUCUUCAAGUACCAUUUUGUAUUUUUGGCUCUGUCUUUUCAGCGGUGACUUCACAUCCUUUAUUUUUCUUCGUUUGUUUUGUCUCCUUUCUUCACCAGCCACAUACGAAUUCAUAUAUCGCGCACCCCUUUUCCCCCUCCUCUCACUGCCUGCGCCUCCUCCCCCUUCUCUGCUUUAUUUCUUUUUUAUUCCGAAUGCACGCUUGCGUAUGCGCAUGUAUGUGUUUCUUUCUCCUCUCUCUGCAUCACAUUGGCAGCACCGGCAUUGGUGCACGUUGGUACACUGCAAGGAAAGAUGAACUUACGCAACUCUUUUCUUACCUCUCCUGCUUGAUUGAGGCAACGCAGCAACACAAAGAACUAGUGAACCAUUUCACACUCUUCUCACCCAGCGGCCCCUCCACAUUGUUACACGUGGACGCUCGUGACUGUCGCUUGCUUCGUGCACACGCAAGCGGUACUGACACGCAUACAGGCCCAUGUGCGAUGUCUCUUCGUGCGUGUAUGCUCUGUUUGGCGGUGCAGCUGUUUCGUGCGCGACAGAGACGGAAAAGCGUCGGGUUCUGGACUGGAGCAAUCGGAGGGCGUCGAAAGGGGAGAGCCGAAAGAAGUGUGCGCCGCGGCAGCCCUCUCUCACAUAAGUGGACAACGAAUACAAUAGUGGGAGGAGCCUGCGUGUGUCUGACGCGGCGGUGCGUUGAGAAGGGCAGUAAAAGAGAAGGAGAGACUCUCACUGUGUACUCAGAAAUAGAACAAACAUGAUAGAAAACUACAGCGACUCAGUUUGUUCACGUGUACCAGCGUCAUUGGGAGAUCUAUGCGGGUAGGGAGGGGGGCUAUCUUUGUAUGGGCGAAGGCACACUACUACUGCUUUCGGACCAUACCCUUACCCCCUACCCCCGUUUUUUCCCACCCACCUAACUACAUGGAAGCGAGGCGUGAAGGAGAACGGAGCAAAAUGUCAGCAGUUACCAGUGCACACACACGGGUACACGCAAGCACGUAGACUUAGGCGGCUCCAGGUACUCCCACGUUGACGGUGUAUGUGAAGUAUCGGAGAGCGCGCCGCAUCCCUGUGCACGUGCCCGCGAGCUGGACAAACGCGUUUUCUUUCUGUUUGUCCGUUCGCUCCUCCUGCUUUCAGCCUGCCUUGGCUCUUUUGUGCCCGUACUUGUUUUUUUUUCUGCGUUUUCUUUAGUUUGACUCGAGCGGACACCGUAACGGAGGCCCGCCUCUCUUCGGCUCUUUCUUUCUCUUACCUUCCGUUCUUCCUCGCAGACUCCACCAUCUCUGUUGUGCAAAGUUGGCUUUGGUGAUGUCUGCGUUUUCGUAAGCACAAAGGAAAGA
rnacentral:misc_RNA from 1 species